GAAGAUGGCUAGAAUGUUUAUCAGCCUUACGUGAUAGUUUUGGCAUGAUUAUUAUAGGAAGUAUCAUAGGAAGGAAAAAAAAAAAGAAGAAAGGAGCAGAAAUGGCAUUUGGAGGCCUUGAACAAUAAUGAAAACAAAGUCUCAUAUAUACCAUGGCCGUUGGAAAUUUAUCACCAACAUGACUAAAUGAUAUAGAAAGUAACAUUGUUAUGAUUUACAAUGGGAGACUAGUAGGACUCAGAAAUUGACAUUCAUCACUGUAUGACUCACUGAUUCUAAGCAUAGAUGAGCUGCAAAAGAAAAGGCCAAAGUACCUGUUGCAGAACACAACUAGGCUAGAGCACCAGCAAAAUUGGCAUAAACACAGGUCUCUAGGGUGCUUGAAACCAUGCAAUCCAUGGGUCGGAUCCUGCCAUGAGAAAACCAUAACUAAGGUAGAUGGAUAGUUCUAAUGAUAGACAGAGACUUAAGUGAUACCUUUAUGAACACACUACAAGAAAAAAACACUUUUAGCAAUAUUGUUAGUUUAAGGAUUAACAAGAAACAACAUUUUUGCCAAUUUCAUGAGUAUAGAGUAAAUUACUGCCACUAACAAGUUUUUCAAAAAUUUAGCAACUAGAACAUUAAAACAAGAGCUCACGUACAUCUUUACCUUUAUGAGCAACUCUAGAGAAUCUUCUGCACACAAGAAUAAAAUAUAGAAUGAGCCCUGUGUCCAUGAAAAAAUAUAGCUAAGAAAAGAUGAUUCAAUAUGUGAAUGAAAGAUUCAAUGAAUCACACAUGCACAUACCUUAGAAAGCUCUUCACUGUUGGAUCAACCAAUUCAAACUUACCUCAAUACAUUAGCUUCUAUAUCCACAACCUUCAAAAAAAAAGUAACCCUAAAUUUAACAAAAGCCAAAAAUAAAGAAAAACAUUGAGAAGUAAAAAACAUAACUAACUUGCUUAGUUUAGUGUUAAAAAUAUAGCAAAACUAAAAAGGGAAAAUAUCAAGUAAAAGGCUACAUCUAAGUAUCAUCUAAUAAUAAUACACACGUGCACACAUAAAUGGAUUGAUGGACUACUAAUAUAAGCUUAUUACCCUUCAACAUUCUGUUCCUCACAGUAGCUUUCAAAGGAGAUAAAGACUCUUAAUCAGAACAGCUUACCAAAGGUGCCUUGUUAACUCUGCUUCCGUGCAUCCAAUCACUUGAGCUGUGCAAGGUAAAGAUCAGUAAACUUAUUAAGAGACUAACAGAAAGAAAUGAUUAAUGCUAGACAACCACUUGCCAGAGAGAUUGUGAUAUGAUUAAUUUAAUGGCAAACAAGAACCAAUUUAUGAACAAGAGAAGAAGUGAAGAAUCAAUGGUGAUUGAGUUUUAGUUUGUGAUAUAAUUAAUUUAAUGGCCUCUGUUUCACUAUUUUGGUUUGUAUUGUUUAGUUUUGUUAUACGAACGCGAAGGAAGGCACUAAAAUCUCAACAAUGAAGGCAGAGGUGUAUUGUCAUCAAACAGUAUUUACGGUAGUUUCUCAUUAGCAUUGCAUGACAUCAUAAAAAUCAAUAGUUUGGAGAGAUAGGAGUUUCUCAAAGAUGGAGAUAUGGAGAGGUACGAAAAAGAAGAAAGGUAUAGUAGAACUGAAGAGACAAAAAUGAGUUGUGGGUUAAAUAAAAUAGUACCAUAAAUAUUACUGUUAAAAUUAAUUAAAGGCUGAGAUUAAACACUGGAGGGUGUUAAUUUUUAUUGGCACUAGAGAGGAUCUGUUUCCAUGUGUGUGAGACAGAGAGAGACAUUAUAAGAGGGUGAAAGGGAUGAGCAUGUGAAGUGCGUGUGUGACCAUAGUUAUUAGAACCAAACUGGUAAUUGUUCUAGUCAUACGAUCGGAUUACCAGAUCAUUCGUUCAACUAGUGGGUUACUGAUUCACCCGGUUGACUCAAUUAUAAUUAAAUAAAAAUGUAAAAUUAUAAAAAUAAAACAAAAAUCAAAAGUUGAAACUUAAAAUGGAUGCAUCCACAAACAUAUUAAUAACGAUCAAAUAUUAAUUUUUAGACAUAACCAAUGAUGCAAAAAGAGAUAAUAAACUAGUCACUAGUACAAAAUACUUUCUGAAUUUAAAUGAACAAAAAAGAGAGGAAAAAUAACACAAUCAGCACAUCAAAUUCAAGAGGUGAUCUCAAAGUCGAUAUCUAUAUCUUCAUAGGACAAAUUUAAAACUUGACAAAUAUUUUCUUUAUUUUGAUUUGCAUCUAUAUCUACAUUUGUGUAUUUUUCACAAAUUAAUACCAAGAAUAAUUCAUAAUAGCACCUGAGUUGUGAUGAAGACAUUUUUAAAAUUCUAGCAAAAAAAACAAACAAAGAGCAUGGGAACAACAAUUUAACUGAACAAUUUAUUCUGUGUUGCAGAGAGCAUGAACCUCAUUUUCAACAACAAAUUCAACUAUGAUAAUUUUUAGCAACAAAAGAUUUAGCUCAAAAGAUUAUUUAUAGCAACAAAAUUUUAGCUAAGUGAUUAUUUCAGCAAAACAACAGAUUCAAGUUUAAAUGAUGAUAAUCAGUAACAAAUUCAACUCGGUGAUGAUUUUCAGCCAAAACAAAUAGUUCCAACAUGUUCAGCAAUAAAGUCAAGGUGCAGUGAUGAAUGAUAGCAACCAAAAUUUAGCUGGGUGAUUUUUUCAACAAAACAGUAACAAAUUCAAAGUUCAGUGAUGAUAAUCAGUAAACAAUUCAACUCAUUGAUGAUUUUUAGCCCAAAAGAAAUUAGCUCAGUGAUAUUUUCAGCAACAAAUUCAAAGUGCAGAGAUGAACAGCAACAAAAUUGAGCAAGAAAGAACAGGGAAAUUUGUUGGAACUCACCAAAUCGGGGACCAGCUACUGACGGCGAGGUGGAAGAAAACGGCGAGGCUCGAAGCAAGAAGACGACAACGACGACCAGCCCCGAGGCCUGCUGCUUCUGCCGUCGGCGACGACGAGCGCAGGGAAGGCGCGCGCUGACUGCAAGACGUUGACGAGACACAGAGCGACGACGAGCUUGACUGCAAGACCGGAGACGAGAGAGCUUGAGUGCGAGAGCGACAGUGAGAAAGAUGAGAGAGUGACGAGACUGAGACACUGAGGGGUGGCCUGGUGGGUGCGAGAGGAAGAGGAAGUAGACGUUCACUGAGCAAAUUAGGGUUUUG
rnacentral:lncRNA from 1 species